AACGAACGCUGGCGGCAGGCUUAACACAUGCAAGUCGAACGCCCCGCAAGGGGAGUGGCAGACGGGUGAGUAACGCGUGGGAAUCUACCCAGUUCUACGGAAUAACCCAGGGAAACUUGGACUAAUACCGUAUACGCCCUACGGGGGAAAGAUUUAUCGGAAUUGGAUGAGCCCGCGUUGGAUUAGCUAGUUGGUGGGGUAAUGGCCUACCAAGGCGACGAUACAUAGCUGGUCUGAGAGGGUGAUCAGCCACACUGGGACUGAGACACGGCCCAGACUCCUACGGGAGGCAGCAGUGAGGAAUAUUGGACAAUGGUCGCAAGCCUGAUCCAGCCAUGCCGUGUGAGUGAUGAAGGCCUUAGGGUUGUAAAGCUCUUUCAGUGGGGUAGAUAAUGACGGUACCCACAGAAGAAGCCCCGGCUAACUUCGUGCCAGCCGCCGCAGUAACAC
rnacentral:rRNA from 1 species